GCAAUACGGUUCGGAUUAUUGGGCGUAAGCGAGCGCAGGCGGUCUUUUAAGUCUAAUGUGAAAGCCUUCGGCUCAACCGAAGAAGUGCAUUGGAAACUGGGAGACUUGAGUGCAGAAGAGGACAGUGGAACUCCAUGUGUAGCGGUGAAAUGCGUAGAUAUAUGGAAGAACACCAGUGGCGAAGGCGGCUGUCUGGUCUGUAACUGACGCUGAGGCUCGAAAGCAUGGGUAGCGAACAGGAUUAGAUACCCUGGUAGUCCAUGCCGUAAACGAUGAUUACUAAGUGUUGGAGGGUUUCCGCCCUUCAGUGCUGCAGCUAACGCAUUAAGUAAUCCGCCUGGGGAGUACGACCGCAAGGUUGAAACUCAAAAGAAUUGACGGGGGCCCGCACAAGCGGUGGAGCAUGUGGUUUAAUUCGAAGCUACGCGAAGAACCUUACCAGGUCUUGACAUCUUCUGCCAACCUAAGAGAUUAGGCGUUCCCUUCGGGGACAGAAUGACAGGUGGUGCAUGGUUGUCGUCAGCUCGUGUCGUGAGAUGUUGGGUUAAGUCCCGCAACGAGCGCAACCCUUAUUACUAGUUGCCAGCAUUCAGUUGGGCACUCUAGUGAGACUGCCGGUGACAAACCGGAGGAAGGUGGGGACGACGUCAAAUCAUCAUGCCCCUUAUGACCUGGGCUACACACGUGCUACAAUGGAUGGUACAACGAGUCGCGAAACCGCGAGGUUUAGCUAAUCUCUUAAAACCAUUCUCAGUUCGGACUGUAUGCUGCAACUCGCCUACACGAAGUCGGAAUCGCUGUAAUCGCGGAUCAGGCGCCGCGUGAAUACUCCCCCCGGGGCGCAUGAAAA
rnacentral:rRNA from 1 species